rfam:Lupinus angustifolius cultivar Tanjil chromosome LG04, whole genome shotgun sequence.
GACUCUCGACAUAGGAUAUUUUGGCUCUUGCAUUGAUGAAGAACGUAAGAAAUGUGAUACUUGGUGUGAAUUGCAGAAUCACAUGAACCAUCGAGUCUUUGAACGCAAGUUGCGCCCGAGCCUAUUAGGCCGAGGGCACACGUGCCUAGAUGUUG